GGAAAUAUAGCUCAGUGGUAGAGUACUUUGCCUAGCAUGCACUCGAGGCCCUGGCUUCAAACCCCAGCACCA
rnacentral:tRNA from 1 species